AGCUGGCUAAGCGUUCAGCUAGUACAGACCACACAGGAAAAAAAGAACUUUUACACCAAGUCUACCAAUAAUAACCUCAUGGUUAACAUAUUUAGUGCUGGGGGGACCUCUGAGCUACUACCUCAUGCCCAUCUCCCCAUUUUACAGAUAAGGAACUUGAGGUCCAAAGAGGGUAGGGGAAAGGGGACAACCAAUAUUAAGACAUGGAAUUGGAAAACUAGACCAAUAAAGCUAGAUCAUAGAGUUUGUGAAGGGAUGCAAUUCUCUCUUGCCUUCAUAUUUUUUGCCUUAUUCUUUAUGAUUUAAUAAAAUCAUUUAAUUUAUGGCCAGUAUCAUAAUUUUCCUUCUUAGGUAAGGCAACAACAAUAUAAACCAUUACAAAACUGGUAUUCAUGGACGAAGAUCUAAUAAUUACUCCAAAUUAGAUUGUUUUCUACUGAAAGAAUAUUGAAAACCCUCUAGGAAAAAACCACAAAGAGACUCCAGGACUGUGUUGGUGAACCUAAGUCGCACAGCUGGAGGGCCUGCUCUCCUCCCUCUCUCCACCAUGCCUGAGAAUAUUUUUCACAUCAUCAGCCCUUCUGUCCAGCAGUCCAAUGGGAGUGCUUCCUCCCUCUUCCCUGUCUGAGUCAACAUUUUGGAGGUCCCACCAAGAUCUGAAGUCCUGGCUGCCUGAGCUUCCCUCCUGACGAGGUACCCACACAACCCAUUUGAGGUUGAGUCAGGAGUCCGAUUAGCAGAGGGGCCAGCUAAGUGGAUUUUGGAGGAAGGACUCGUGUCUCGUGUAUUUGGGAUUGACUCACUCUUUAAUUAAGGGAUUGUUAAACUGGAGUCUGUGGGGUACACAGAGAGCCGCAUAGUCCAGAGCUACCGGGUGCUGCUGGACAUGGGUAACAGCUUGUCUAUAAUCCCAAAAAUUGAGGUGGGGGCAGCUGGCAACCCUAGGAACCACCUAAUGAUACGACUGUUUUUAAGAUUUGGGCCUAAUGCAGGGAAAGGUUUAGAGAAGAUGAGAAGAUGGCAGGCGAUGGCAGAGUCUGGCCCCGAUGCGUAUUGGACAACAUGGAGUCUAGUUCAACCUGGCUACAAUCUCCGAGCUUUAUUAGAUUUUGGGUGUCUGUGUGUUGAUGCCUAUGUGAGUACAGCAGUGUAUAUGCUAGAGGUGAGGGCAAGGAGAGUAAUUCAGAGGCAUGAAUGGUUGGCUGAAAGUUGGAGUGUGAGUUGGAGUGCGAGUCUGAGGGUUCAACUGAAAUUCCGGGUAACUGCUUUAAGUUGAUUAAAAUAGAGAAAGUUUCUUCAUGAAUUGAAAUGCCACAGUUUAAAGGGUUAAAUGGUUAUAAUUUUUUUUUUAAUGAAAGAGCUUCUCAUAGAAGCUUAAGAACUUAAGUUCUGUAUUUCUUCUCAGUUUUCUGUGGGUUUUUGCAUAUAUUGUAUGUCUAGUGUAUUUCCUAGUGUAUUCUUCACCAAUAAUUUCAAAUGCUUGUGAUUUAAAGGUUAGCAAAUAAAGUCUGAAAGUUGUGUUAACAAUGAAUUCCUCCCAAAAGUUGAAGAGGCAAGACGGGAGCUGGCGAUCUGAUUAUGUGAAUAUCCAGCAGGAGGCAAAAGGAGGUUCAGAAAUUCUUAAUUUUAAGGUCUAAUUUUUUUCUUCCCUAAGUUUUGGUAUGGUUAAUAUGUGAAAUAUUUUGUAUCAAGUGCAAUUAAUAUUGGUAAUAAGAUGCAUUUUAUUCUAGGUAUUAACUUUGUUAUUUGAGUGCUAUAAUUUUACUUUUUUUUUCAAGCUGUUAAGUGUUUUCAAAUAGCAAGAUUUUUCUGAAAUGCAUGUGUGAGUUCUGGAGUGAAGAAAUUUCAUUUUACGAUGGUCAGCUACAGACCUGACUGAUUGUUGAAUUGGUAUAAAUGACAAGAAAUAUUGGGGGAAAGGCAUUGCUUUAAAUGGUAAGGAAACCCUGAACAUUUUUAAACUGACCAACAAAUUUCCUCUCUAGGAGCAGCUUUAGCCUUAGGCCAAAGUGAUUUGAGGAAAGGCAAAUUUGAAGAUAAAGGUAAAUUAGAGUAAAAAAAAGUGAAAGAGAAGGGAAUUGUAGAGGUAUUCAAAGUUAAAGGUAAUUUUUAAGCUUUUCCUUAGUAACCCUAAGUUUUGUGUUUAGAAAAAAAAAUGUUACAGGUUUAGUUUUUGAAAAAGUAAAAGAAUCAUGAACUAUAACCUAACCUGAUUUUUGAAAUUUUUAAGGUAAAUUUCCAGAAUGCAACCGUUACAAUAGAUAGGUUUUUGUUGUAAGAGACCAGUGAAUACUGAUAACUAAUUUUCCUUUUUAAGUAGAGAGAACUAAUGGUUUUGUGAGCAUUAUUUCUGAUGAUCAUUGGCACAUGACUGCUAAGAGAGAAAGGAAUUCCCCACCUGGGAAACUCCUAAGAAAUUUCUAGGAAUGCCCUGUAUUUUGCCACCCCAGUUCUGGAGUGUGGGUAAAGUGAUUAAAACCUAUUAAAGUUAAGUUUUACCUCAAGAUGGUUCUUAGGAGCCAAAAGCCUGGACAAGAUUUUCCUGCAGCCUAGUGUUAAGGAUAAUUUUAGCAUUGUGACCUAAACUAUAUUAAUUAUUGGUCACCAUGGGAUAUCCCAAAUAAAAAAAAAAUACCCAAGUCAGCUUUAAAUUUAUGGUGAUUUAAUUAAUGUAGUGGAAAGAAAUUAAGAAAAAGGGAGAAGGAAAGGGUGUAGGAUUUCUCCCGCCUGGCUUGUGCAAGGGGGGAAGAUUAGAGGCUCUAGGAAGAUAAAGUUUUGGAGAGUAAAGGAGGAAGGAAUCAGCCUGAACUCCAAGAGAGCUCAGCCAAGGUGCCUGAACCUGAAUUAGCUCAAGGGCAAACUCACCGCCAAAAUCCAGACAAAUAGCUGCCACCACGCUAAGAUGUUGGAAUGCUUAGCAUGCUGCCAGCCAGAGCUACCUCUCCGGGGGAAAAAAAACUGCAAGGAAGCCCCGCAAAAAAACCUAGAUGCUUCUAUCUCACUUUCCUGUGUCUCCUCUGUACCAAUGGUAGCCGAGACCUUGACUUAGGACAGCCCAGGGGUCUGUCAGCUAUUCUGAUUUGUCAAUUUCUCUAUCAAAGGCCACUCUCUUAAAACUCAAUCCUCAAGCAUGGUUACAGACAUUUCCGAUUUUGUUAGACAAAGUAGGGUGGAGUAAUGCAAAGUUCCCAAGACAUCCCUGAUUUUCUAAGAAUAAGCAUCUUCCUUGUUACAAAUCAGGAGAUAGCUAAAUCCAAUCUUCACACUAGUAUCUGAAGGAUUCUUCAAGAAGACAUCUCUACGAGAAAUCCGAAGGAGCCCCCAAGAUACUGAAUCCAGAUAAGUAUUGUUUCUCAUCAUUUUCAUUGACUUUAGAAAUAUUUCUGUAGCAGACAUAAAACUGGCCAUUUCAUUUCCCCUGAAAAUUACAUUUACCCUGAGCAAAGUAGAGAACCUUGAAAGAAUAGAGCUAUUACCCAAAUUUAGUUGAAGUGGGAAAGUUUAAAUAGGACCAUUUUACCUUGUUAAGAGGUUUGAAACUAACAUCUGUUAAUUUGAGAAUUUGCAGCAAAGAUUCCAGAGUGCUAGUUUGUCUCAAAGUAGUAGAAUUUAGGGAAGAAUGAUGGAGCCUAAAAAUGAUUAUUAAUAACAGAAGGUAAUUUUAAAUCUGGAGCAUGAUUAGAGAGAAUUGCCAUCUAGGGUUGAAUUGUAUGGGAAGAUAAUUGGGAAAAGAAAUGCUAUGGAGAAAAUUGGUUAUUGAUACAGUCACAAGGGUGAAUGGAAGGGCUAAGUUUCUGUCAAGGUGACUGCUGAUCAUUGUCAAUUUAUGCAUGGCAUUAAUAUUCCAAAUUAUGGGAGCUUUUCUACCUCAUUUUAAGUUACUUCCCACUUUUCUCCUGUUAAUAACAAAUUUUCUGUAAUCGUAUGCUUAAGGAAGCCUCAGGAAGUCAAGGCAUAGAAUAUGGAAUUUGUGGAGGCAGAUAGAAAUUUUUAGCCAUUAUGAAUGAGUAAGCAAAUCAAAGAGGUCCCUUUUCUUAAAAGGAAGAGUUUAGGUCAUAAGGAAAACCUGGCAAAAUAUCAGUGCCAAAAAGGGGGGAAGCCUUGCACAUAAAUAGUAGAUUCUAAACAGCAUUUUUAAUAAACAAGGUUCUGAUAGAACACUGAAUGGCUCCCCAGUACCAGUAAAGUUUAUACAUUUUGUAUCUUCAAGGCAGGAAACAAUGAGAUUAGAGAAGCCUUUGUGCCUAGAAAUACUAAUGAAAUCACCUAUAGACUAGGCCUAAAUUAAAUGGUAAAUGAGCCUCAUUGCCAAUGAAUAAGUACUCAGGAAAAUGAAAUGUGUACCCAAAACUAACUCAGUCAAAUCAGGAGAAUUAUUUUAACAAAAAUUUUUAUGUACAGACUUUACAUUAGCUGACUCAGUUGCAACAUUAUUUUUUCAUAUUAGGUAAUAGUUAAUAGAAGUAAAAAGCCUAAAUUGUUUAAGCACAUGGUUAUGGCUGUUACGUAGUUAAAGGUGAAUGAAAAUGUUGGGCCCAGAUAAGAACUUAGGACCCCCAUAAACCACAAUCUAAGAGGAACAUUCCUUCCAGGAAGUCAGGCAGAACAGGAUGCACCAGAGCAGAACCCUAAUCUGCAACAGCCUGGUUACCCUUAUCAACCAGCAGCUGUAACCGGAAAACCAUUCCCUAUGCCUAUAGAACAGAAUAUAAACCCUGUAUCAACCCUUAGGUGGGGUCCAGACUUGUACUUUUGGUCCUGGACCCUAGCUGGAGCUAACAAUAAAGUUCCCCUUGUGAUUACAUUGUUGGUGUGGUGCCUUCCUUGCAAUCAGGAUUGAUUCUGGGAUGAACAAAAACAGUUUUUAAAUCCCUAGCAUCUCAACCUCCCCAAAGGGGGGGGUAUGUGAGGUGUGUAUGAGGUUUUAAAAUUAAGGAAAAUUAGAAGCAUUUUUAAGCUUGAGAAUUUUUGGAGUUCAUUUCAAUAUUGAAAUGUAAAUUUGACUUUUAAAAUAGUUUUGAAGCUGAAAUUGCCAUGCAGUCAUUUUAAUGUUGUUUUGGAUUUUGGGGUGAUAAAAUAUCUAGUUAGAAUUUUACUUGGUGCUAGACAAUAUUUUAAUUUUGGCCACAAAUAGGAGGUAGGGCCACUUCCAGAUUUACCAAGACCUGAAUAAUCUGUGAUGUGGAUUUUGCUUUUGCUUUUAGGGUUUUUAUAUUAUUACUUUGGUAAAGUAAGGCAAUCUUUCUGAUUAAGCAUGUAAAUUACAUAAUUUUAUAAUUGUGGAAAAGACAUUACUAAAAUUAAUGAUGGGAUUUGUAGAUUUAAGGUUAGCGAUAUGGAUAAUCUUUGUAGUGAGUAAGCAUAUAAGGAGUUGAUCAUAGUCCUGUUAAAGAAUGUGUUUAUGGAUUUCUCUUGUUUUCUCUAGCAGCAGCAAAGAAGCUGUCUGGUACAAAAGGAGGAGUCUGCAGCAGGACUGAAGUCUGCCGGGAGAGGAAGCUGAAGGCAUCAUAUCUGAACCCACCAGAUUUGAAAGACUUAAAAGACUUUGGGGAAAUGGGGUAGUGUUUUGAUUGUUAUUUUUUGCCAAAGGCAGACUGCCUGCCUUUCUGGCUCAAAUGUCAAUGCACCUGGGUCAUUGGGGAAUGCGCCUCCAAAUGCCAAUUGCCUGUGCCUGUACCCCCAAGGCUUUCCCAUCAUUUGUGAUGAGAGGGCAACCCCAUGUGGCAUUUCCCAUUUGUCUAUUUAUUUGGUCAUCGAUGUUCAGUCUUGACCAAAAGGGGGGGUGGUGUCAACAUGGAAUCUAGGAAUUGCAAACUUGUGGCCUAGUGGGAUCUGAUGAACCCCAAGUUUCAGGACUAGCUCAUAAAUUGGAGACCCCAAAGUUUGCACUUGUUCCCUGUUCCCAUGGGAAUCCACCCAGAAGGGAAUCUCAGGCUAGCAGUUUCAGACUGAGUGGGGGACCCUCUGGGGAAUGACAAUCCUAGUUGGGUGGGACUAAGCAUAUGCUAAGGACCCUUUAGUAUCCAUUGUAAGUAGCCCCUUCUCUUACACCCUAGACUCUAGCUAUGAUUCUUUUGUUUGAUUGUAUCCUGUCAGUGUAGUUUGAACACUCCUUUUCUUUGUAGCUAUGGUGAUGCCAAUCAUCUUUCCUUGUCCCCGGAACUCCCCAAAUGGUAUAUAGGAUCCCCAAAUUCUUUGUUCCCUGGAGUCGUCAUCUAGCAUGGUGGCACUCCCAGGGGUCAGUGACUAGAGUGGCCAGAGUUCAAUCUUCAGACUCUGUGCAGUCAUGUGUGGUGUGCAGCUCUGUUGUCGAGGCCUACUAGUGCUGAACCCCUUCUUUGCCCUUGAUUAAAGAGUGAUUUUGACUAUAAUAGUUCUGUGUUUUUUCCCAGUCGACAACUUAUUUUCAAAGAUUAAAGUGGAGAAUAGAGCCCAUUCAUUCAGAAGCUAAGCAUAUGGCAGAAUUAUGUCUUUUUGUGUUUACUAUCACACAAAACAUAUUUCCAUGUUGUUUAUUUUUGUAAGUGAAUAAUCUUAAGAAGCCCCAAACCCCAAACUACAUAACCUGUCAACUCAAUUUCUGGAAACCCCAAAUUUGCCUCUGCCCCUUGGAAACUUGCCUUUAGGGAAAGUCCCAAACUGACUUUUGUCUUAGAGGGAACAAUGGAUCACCAAGCAUCCAUUAAGUGUCCAGAAUAGGAAAUGAUAGAAAUGCUCAAAUCCUCAAUCACCCUUUUCAUCUUAGAAGUUUCCCCCCAUUCUAUCAGAAAUCCAUUCCCCAAAAGACCUGCAUAGGCAGGAACCAUCCUUUUUGUAUCCAGUGUAAGUUAGGCCACUCCCUGAUACCCUAGCCUCUAGCUACAGUCUCUUUCCCAAGCCUGCCUGUAACCAGUCAGUAUAUGUUUGCUGUACUAUAUUCCCUAAAAGAUACAUAAGUUCACACGCUCUAUUAUUCUUUGGAGAAUGAUCUUUGGUGGUGAUUCUCUCAGAGACACUGGCCCCAGAGCCCGGUAUUUAGAGUUGGUCUCUGUGUGGGAACUGAAUAUUAAAGACUUGUCUCUUUUCCUGAUUAAAGAUUUGGUUUUUCUGA